UACGUAGGGUGCAAGCGUUGUCCGGAAUUAUUGGGCGUAAAGAGCUCGUAGGCGGUCUGUCGCGUCGGCUGUGAAAACCCGAGGCUCAACCUCGGGCCUGCAGUCGAUACGGGCAAACUGGAGUACUGCAGGGGAGACUGGAAUUCCUGGUGUAGCGGUGGAAUGCGCAGAUAUCAGGAGGAACACCGAUGGCGAAGGCAGGUCUCUGGGCAUUAACUGACGCUGAGGAGCGAAAGCAUGGGGAGCGAACAGG
rnacentral:rRNA from 1 species